AGUGAACGCUGGCGGUAGGCCUAACACAUGCAAGUCGAACGGCAGCACAGGAGAGCUUGCUCUCUGGGUGGCGAGUGGCGGACGGGUGAGGAAUACAUCGGAAUCUACUCUGUCGUGGGGGAUAACGUAGGGAAACUUACGCUAAUACCGCAUACGACCUACGGGUGAAAGCAGGGGACCUUCGGGCCUUGCGCGAUUGAAUGAGCCGAUGUCGGAUUAGCUAGUUGGCGGGGUAAAGGCCCACCAAGGCGACGAUCCGUAGCUGGUCUGGGAGGAUGAUCAGCCACACUGGAACUGAGACACGGUCCAGACCCCUACGGGAGGCAGCAGUGGGGAAUAUUGGACAAUGGGCGCAAGCCUGAUCCAGCCAUACCGCGUGGGUGAAGAGGGCCUUCGGGUUGUAAAGCCCUUUUGUUGGGAAAGAAAUCCAGCUGGCUAAUACCCGGUUGGGAUGACGGUACCCAAAGAAUAAGCACCGGCUAACUUCGUGCCAGCCGCCGCCGUAA
rnacentral:rRNA from 1 species